rnacentral:rRNA from 1 species
UCUAAUACCGGAUACGAGCCUCCCGGGCAUCUGGGAGGUUGGAAAGCUCCGGCGGUGAAGGAUGAGCCCGCGGCCUAUCAGCUUGUUGGUGAGGUAAUGGCUCACCAAGGCGACGACGGG